rnacentral:lncRNA from 1 species
GGGCGAGAGUAGCACUAGGAUGGGUGACCUCCUGCGAAAUCCUUAAAUUUCACCCAUUUUCUUAGGAAGUCCUCGUGUUGCACCCAUUUUUUUGCAGAUGAUUCUUUCGACGAUACGCGCGACUUGAAUUAUGGUCCUCAGGUUUAUUCGCAAAUGUGAGUCACGACACCUUAGCAUUUUACUUGAUAUUAGAACGAGCACGGGAGGUGCAAUGCGCACGCACAAGGAAA